rnacentral:lncRNA from 1 species
CGCCCAAGCCCAUCUUAAUUCUUAUGCCCAAGCCCAAGCCUAAACUCUAAAGGUUAGCUGGUUACUGGUUAGUGGUUAGGGCAUUAGCAUUUAGCAAUUUAGAUUACAGUACAGUUGAGCGGCGAUCUGGAGAUUUCCGAUUUCCGAGCUCCGAUUCCUCACUCCUCAGUCCUUAGUCCUCACAAAUUCCGGGCAAACGAAGAUGUUGUUGUUGAGAACUUGCGAUAGUUUCAAUUUUCAAAGGUAUGUUUCUACUUUCUAGCGAUUUCUACUUUCUAGCGAUGGAAAUGAAUUUGAUGAAGAUUUCUAACGAUGUUCUUUAGCGAAGAUUAAUUUUAUAUUUGAAACUCAUUUUUUUGGAUCAAGUGUUUGAUUAGGUAUAAAGUAGGUUGACAUAUGAGAAACCUAUAAGAUAUAGCAGUAGAACAGGGAAUGAAGAUAGUAGUUUCGUGAAAUUUCUUUAGCAGUAAGCGUUGGCAGUUAUGUAUAGAUAUUGAUUGAAGUAACUGAUACAGGAAAAUGAUUCUGUAACCUAAUUUAUGUAGCCCGUUGCACAAACUGUAGUAAUUGUAUCUUACUAGAGCUAACUGGAUAGAAACUGUACUAAUUUCUGCUGCUGCUGCUCUCUGUUCUUUAGCAAUGGACAUAGUACUCUGAUUAAUUUUGGAUAGAUCAUAUUGUAAUUUGUAUUUGAAAGCAUAAAGAUAAAUGAAGAUGAUUACAAAAAGAUUUUGUUUUCUUUUUCUAUUUUGUUAAAAUCUUCUUUAGACUUGGUGGAAUCUUCAACUUUAUUCAGACUGAUAUAUGACUAUAUGUUAAUCGGCGGGCUAAUGGACUCAAUAUUGUGUUACUGUUAGCAUCUUUUAAAAGAACUUCUAGUGUUACUGCUAGCAUCUUUUAGCUGCUGCAAGACCUCAAACUUGUUGAAUGUUGUGUAUUUGUGUUUAUGGUUUGGUUGUUCAGGUGUUCUUGGCAUUGGUAGUGUGUAAAUAUAAUUGGCAUAGUGCAAUUGGUUGUUCAGGUGUUCCUGAUGUUGUUGCUGCAUCUUAGUUACAAUUGCAGCUUGGCAGUGUGUAAAUGUUUGGCUGUUCAGAUGUUCUGCAGAUGGUUUAGCUGUUCAGGUGUUCUGCAAACGCUUGUUACAUAGCUUGUUCUGCAGAUGCUUGUUACAUGUUGUGCAGGUGUUCUGAAUGCUAGUCAUCUCUUCUAAAGAAUGACAAGAAUAAUUCUGGUUUUUCUUGCUUGGCUACAGAUCUAUUAGCUUGGCUGCAGAUGAUUGUUACAUGGCCUGAAGCCUUAAGUCUAAUUCUGUUGUGUACCUGUGUCUGUUUAAGACUGAAGGCACAACUACAUUUGUUACUAAUUGUAAUUUUCAUUCACAACUGCAUGCCUAAAUUCAAGCUGAUCUUCCCUCCUAUAACAGUGUAAACAAUCUAGUAAGUAAAUUUUUUCCUCAUCCCUAUUACAUAAUAGUAUGCAGGCAGGCUAUUAAAGAUCAGAAAACUAAUAAGGUAAUGAGAACUAACAGGUCCAAGCAAGCAAGAAUGCACGCCCAGUUACAGACCACAAGAAUAACCAAAAGGUGCUAUAUUUGGCAAUUUCCUUUUAAGGACUAAGAUUUCUUCAACUGGUUGUGGUUUUUCAAGAAACGACUUUGCUUUCUUAAUGUAAAGUCUUGACACGUCUAUAUGAAAAAGCAGCUUAAUAUUGAAGCAGUAUCAAAAUUUAAUAUUGAAGCAGAAAUUCCAGUAGUUGAC